GAUGAAGAACGCAGCGAAAUGCGAUAAGUAAUGUGAAUUGCAGAAUUCAGUGAAUCAUCGAAUCUUUGAACGCACAUUGCGCCCGCCAGUAUUCUGGCGGGCAUGCCUGUUCGAGCGUCAUUACAACCCUCAGGCCCCCGGGCCUGGCGUUGGGGAUCGGCGGAAGCCCCCUGUGGGCACACGCCGUCCCUCAAAUACAGUGGCGGUCCCGCCGCAGCUUCCAUUGCGUAGUAGCUAACACCUCGCAACUGGAGAGCGGCGCGGCCAUGCCGUAAAACACCCAACUUCUGAAUGUUGACCUCGAAUCAGGUAUGAAUACCCGCUGAACUUAAGCAUAUCAAUAAGCGGAGGA
rnacentral:misc_RNA from 1 species